GUAGGUGGCAAGCGUUGUCCGGAACUAUUGGGCGUAAAGCGCGCGCAGGCGGUCCUUUAAGUCUGAUGUGAAAGCCCACGGCUCAACCGUGGAGGGUCAUUGGAAACUGGAGAACUUGAGUACAGAAGAGGAAAGCGGAAUUCCACGUGUAGCGGUGAAAUGCGUAGAGAUGUGGAGGAACACCAGUGGCGAAGGCGGCUUUCUGGUCUGUAACUGACGCUGAGGCGCGAAAGCGUGGGGAGCAAACAGGAUUAGAUACCCUGGUAGUCCACGCCGUAAACGAUGAGUGCUAAGUGUUAGGGGGUUUCCGCCCCCCUUAGUGCUGCAGCUAACGCAUUAAGCACUCCGCCUGGGAGUACGGCCGCAAGGCUG
rnacentral:rRNA from 1 species